rnacentral:rRNA from 1 species
UACAGAGGGUGCAAGCGUUAAUCGGAAUUACUGGGCGUAAAGCGAGCGUAGUCGGUUAUUUAAGUCGGGUGUGAAAGCCCCGGGCUCAACCUGGGAAUUGCAUUCGAUACUGGAUAGCUAGAGUUCGGCAGAGGGAAGCGGAAUUUCCGGUGUAGCGGUGAAAUGCGUAGAUAUCGGAAGGAACAUCAGUGGCGAAAGCGGCUUGCUGGGCCAGUUCUGACGCUGAGGAGCGAAAGCGUGGGGAGCGAACAGG